rnacentral:rRNA from 1 species
UGGGGAAUCUUGGACAAUGGGGGCAACCCUGAUCCAGCCAUGCCGCGUGAGUGAUGAAGGCCCUAGGGUUGUAAAGCUCUUUCAACGGUGAAGAUAAUGACGGUAACCGUAGAAGAAGCCCCGGCUAACUUCGUGCCAGCAGCCGCGGUAAUACGAAGGGGGCAAGCGUUGUUCGGAAUUACUGGGCGUAAAGGGCGUGUAGGCGGUCUAAUCAGUCAGAGGUGAAAGCCCUGGGCUCAACCCAGGAAUUGCCUUUGAUACUGUUAGACUAGAGUUCGGGAGAGGGUAGUGGAAUUCCCAGUGUAGAGGUGAAAUUCGUAGAUAUUGGGAAGAACACCAGUGGCGAAGGCGGCUACCUGGACCGAUACUGACGCUGAGGCGCGAAAGCGUGGGGAAGCAAACGAGGAUUAGAUACCCUGGUAGUCCACGCCGUAAACGAUGUCUGCUAGUCGUUGGGGGGCCGUAGCCCUUCAGU